rnacentral:rRNA from 1 species
CCUACGGGUGGCAGCAGUGGGGAAUAUUGCACAAUGGGGGAAACCCUGAUGCAGCGACGCCGCGUGAGUGAAGAAGUAAUUCGUUAUGGAAAGCUUUAUCAGCAGGGAAGAAAAUGACGGUACCCGAGUAAGAAGCCGCGGCUAACUACGUGCCAGCAGCGGCGGCAAUACGUAGGGGGCAAGCGUUAUCCGGAUUUACCGGGUGUAAAGGGAGCGUAGAGGGCAGUGCAAGUGUGGAGUGAAAGGGGGGGGUCCAACCCCCGGACUGCACUGGAAACUGUACGGCUGGAGUGCAGGAGAGGUAAGUGGAAUUCCUAGUGUAGCGGUGAAAUGCGUAGAUAUUAGGAGGAACUCCAGUGGCGAAGGCGGCUUACUGGACUGCAACUGACGUUGAGGCUCGAAAGCGUGGGGAGCGAACAGGAUUAGAUACCCGAGUAGUC